rnacentral:lncRNA from 1 species
GCAGGGUUGAUGAAUAACCUUCUGAGGCCGGGAGUUGGAAUUUAGCCGAAUUCCUGUCACUUUCUCCUGUAAUUUGACUGUGUGAUUCGUUGACAAGAAAAAGUGGCCCUGCGGAGGUGAGCCCUCCCCACACCCGAGGCUCUCCAGUGCUGCUGAAGCCUUUUGAAUUCACUCGUCUUCGAACAGAUCAGUCAUUAGGAAUUCUUCCCGCUUUCUUCAGGACUUGAUCCAGGGAAUCUCCAUCCAUGUGCUACCUGCAGAUACUGAUCUCGCCUCUCGCUGUAGAAUGCAC